ACUUUUCAUAAUUUCAGACUGUCCUUCUGCCCAAUUGCUGAGUCUGGGCACACAGACAGUCAAGGCUUUACCUUUGGGAAGCAGACACCCCAGUCACAAGACACAGGUCUCGGCUCUGAGAUCCACAGGGCUGCGUUCAGAGAGAAAAACAACAAUGGGAAGAUAUCUGGAGGGUAAUGAAAUGACAGUCCAGUGAACAUGUUUCAAAAGCACACUCGUUUUUGAAAGACAGAACUAUUAAAUUAGCAAAAAGGCAUACAUUAGACCCAACAGAGCUGAGUUUCCAAAUGUCUUUUUGAAAUAAUUAACUCCAGGCAUCAGGGAUCAAGUAUAUUCACUGCAAGUAGAAAGUGGCUGCAGGACCCGAAGCUGGAAGGUGGACCUGGAGAAGGGUGUGUGGAAGAUGGCUGGAGGAGGCGGCUGUGCCAGGAAAACAGGCAUUUCCACUAACAUGAGGAAUCUCUUGGGAAGAGGAGUGAAGAGCACAGGCUUAGAGAUCCAGGCUAGAGUCUUUAUCCACCACUUACUGGGGAAUUCCACGGUGCCAGCCAUGGUGUGAAGCAACUACUAACUUCAGCUAUUGCCCAUUUUACGGACGUGGAAACGGAGGUGACGGGGACCCAACUGCUGCCUAGACACUUACCAGUCAGUUUGCUGAUUGGCAACUUCACUUCACCUGUAAACUUCAUUCCCCUCUGACAAGUAAUGCAACGUAUUCCUGGGUUCCAGAGACUAUGACAACAACAUGUUUGAGGGGAGGCAUUAUUCUGCCGACCACAGAUCAUCCACGGUUGUGCUGUCCUCCAAACUCUGCUAAGAAGCUCCUCGGCGAGCCUUUCGUCCUAAGACAAGCUGUGCCCGUGGAUCUGUUCCCUCACACCCCGCACUUCGAACUCGUGCUUCUCUUCACUCGAUAAGCAGCCUCCUACAAGCCUGCAGGUUCUUUGUUAAGGCUGAAGUGUCAGGUAACUUCCAGGUUCGGCAUAUUGCUACCUCGCAGACCCUGAGAGCAUUACCAGGGAAACCAAUGUUUGGAUCCUGAGCAGGAAGAAUACAGUGGGUCUCCUACCUGAGGCUCAUUUCUAACCUUAGUUUUCAGGUUUGCUGGCUCUCUUGCAUGUUUGCCUGGUUGUGACCACUCCUUGGCCCUGGAUCUGGACUGUUCCUUCCUUUUGCUGUCAGCCUGUUAUGGCUCCCUUGAUCCUAGUCUAUAUAGUCUGUCUCCUCUGUCUGGCUCUGCCUGAGGUGGGGUGACAGCUGAGCUUUUCUCUGUAUCUGGUCAUAAUGUCACAUUGACCUGGGUUACUAUAUCUGCCCAGAAAUUUUACUAGAUGUGUUCUGCAUUCAUGAAGGAGACAAAGAUUAGAACUAGAAACAAGUCUAGCUUUUUUAAAAAGCAGAGUAAGCUUUGAAGCGAUUACAGAGUGACUGCGUGAUCUCAGUAGAGAUUCAUUCCUUUGGGUUUUCUGGGCUUUGAGGCUUCCAGAACAGCCUUUAAAAAUGUGGUUACACUGAAGAGCAAUACCGCCAAUUAGCUCUCACCUAUGGAGGGAGAAGUGGUUGUAGUAGAGACCCUAUGGGAAGGGAGACCAUCAAAGAAGACACUGAAUACCUGUAAUUGUGCUUUGUAGUAUGGAGGCAGAAAGCUCCAGAAUCCCCUAAUGAUCCAGUAUAUAUAUACUAUAAUAAACUGGAUAUUGAAACUGACAUUCUCUCGUCAUGAUUUCUUCAACUCUGGAGUUGUUAUGGGAUACGUGCCCAACAAUUAAAUUAUGUUUUGAAUCGUAAUAGCCUAAGGACUUGUAACUCAGCACUGUCUGAUUUACAAACUGAUAUCAGGUCAGCUAGUGUU